rnacentral:rRNA from 1 species
CCGGCGACCGGCGCACGGGUGAGUAACACGUAUGCAACCUGGCCGUGACAGAUGGAUAACCGGGAGAAAUCCCGCCUAAUACAACAUAAUGCCGGGAGGGGACAUCCCCUGCCGGCCAAAGGGGGCGACCCGGUCACGGAUGGGCAUGCGGCGCAUUAGGUAGUUGGUGGGGCAACGGCCCACCAAGCCGACGAUGCGUAGGGGUUCUGAGAGGAAGGCCCCCCACAUUGGAACUGAGACACGGUCCAAACUCCUACGGAAGGCAGCAG